GCUAGUGUAGCUUAAAGUAAAGCAUAGCACUGAAAAUGCUAAUAUAAAAUAUCAAACUUUUCGCAAGCG
rnacentral:tRNA from 1 species